GAUGAACGCUGGCGGCGUGCCUAAUACAUGCAAGUCGAGCGAACGGACGAGAAGCUUGCUUCUCUGAUGUUAGCGGCGGACGGGUGAGUAACACGUGGAUAACCUACCUAUAAGACUGGGAUAACUUCGGGAAACCGGAGCUAAUACCGGAUAAUAUUUUGAACCGCAUGGUUCAAAAGUGAAAGACGGUCUUGCUGUCACUUAUAGAUGGAUCCGCGCUGCAUUAGCUAGUUGGUAAGGUAACGGCUUACCAAGGCAACGAUGCAUAGCCGACCUGAGAGGGUGAUCGGCCACACUGGAACUGAGACACGGUCCAGACUCCUACGGGAGGCAGCAGUAGGGAAUCUUCCGCAAUGGGCGAAAGCCUGACGGAGCAACGCCGCGUGAGUGAUGAAGGUCUUCGGAUCGUAAAACUCUGUUAUUAGGGAAGAACAUAUGUGUAAGUAACUGUGCACAUCUUGACGGUACCUAAUCAGAAAGCCACGGCUAACUACGUGCCAGCAGCCGCGGUAAUACGUAGGUGGCAAGCGUUAUCCGGAAUUAUUGGGCGUAAAGCGCGCGUAGGCGGUUUUUUAAGUCUGAUGUGAAAGCCCACGGCUCAACCGUGGAGGGUCAUUGGAAACUGGAAAACUUGAGUGCAGAAGAGGAAAGUGGAAUUCCAUGUGUAGCGGUGAAAUGCGCAGAGAUAUGGAGGAACACCAGUGGCGAAGGCGACUUUCUGGUCUGUAACUGACGCUGAUGUGCGAAAGCGUGGGGAUCAAACAGGAUUAGAUACCCUGGUAGUCCACGCCGUAAACGAUGAGUGCUAAGUGUUAGGGGGUUUCCGCCCCUUAGUGCUGCAGCUAACGCAUUAAGCACUCCGCCUGGGGAGUACGACCGCAAGGUUGAAACUCAAAGGAAUUGACGGGGACCCGCACAAGCGGUGGAGCAUGUGGUUUAAUUCGAAGCAACGCGAAGAACCUUACCAAAUCUUGACAUCCUUUGACAACUCUAGAGAUAGAGCCUUCCCCUUCGGGGGACAAAGUGACAGGUGGUGCAUGGUUGUCGUCAGCUCGUGUCGUGAGAUGUUGGGUUAAGUCCCGCAACGAGCGCAACCCUUAAGCUUAGUUGCCAUCAUUAAGUUGGGCACUCUAAGUUGACUGCCGGUGACAAACCGGAGGAAGGUGGGGAUGACGUCAAAUCAUCAUGCCCCUUAUGAUUUGGGCUACACACGUGCUACAAUGGACAAUACAAAGGGCAGCGAAACCGCGAGGUCAAGCAAAUCCCAUAAAGUGGUUCUCAGUUCGGAUUGUAGUCUGCAACUCGACUACAUGAAGCUGGAAUCGCUAGUAAUCGUAGAUCAGCAUGCUACGGUGAAUACGUUCCCGGG
rnacentral:rRNA from 1 species